GUUGCUCUGCUUAAUCUCACUACAAUAUCAUCCACUUGGGCAAGGGUAAUUGAUGUCAUGGACAGUGAGUCAGGUUCAAGAUUGUUUGGUUUUAUUGGGGCUGGUGCUACGCUAGGGCAACUUUUUGGUUCUUUGUUUGCUGCAAGCAUGACAUGGAUGGGACCCUGGUCAUAUCCUUACAGUAGCUGGUAUAACAGUUGCUAUUUGCGCAUCUCCAUUCAUUGCUACCUCAAAUUUGGUUGCCCUUGCUGUAUGGCCAACUUGGGUUGCUGUUGCUGUCACUGAAACAAUUCGAAAGUACCCUGGUGAAGGCACACGGCACUUCUCUUGCACAUCUGAGCCCAGAGGGAUGCAGUAAGAUAAUUGAUGCAAGUCUGUUUGCCAUUUCCGAGAGUUGCUCUGAGCUCGCCGAGCUUGAUCUUUCAAACUGCAUGGUCAGCGACUAUGAUGUUACGGUGUUGGCAUCCGCGGAGCGGCUCAAGCUCCGUCUCCUCUCACUGUCCGACUGUCUCAAGGUCACACCUAAGAGCGUUCCAUUCCUGGGAAGCAUGCCUGCAUCGUUGGAGGGCCUCAACCUAAUAGGUGUCAUAUGCUAAAUGGAUCAAAAGAGAAUGAGACAGUGUCUCAAAUAUUCUAAUUCCGUUGUUUAGUGGAGAUUCAAAUGGAAACCAAGGCUGCAUUAAUCCUAACAAGAACUUCGCUUGGAUGCAGUGAUAUUUUCUGGACAUGAGAAAAAGCAAGGAUUACACAUACGAGACAUAGAGGAUGUGGGUGCGCCGUGCGGGAGUGAUACGUGUCGGCCCUCAUUGUAUGUUCAUGUCCUACUCUUGUGAUGCUCCGAUGGUCUUCUCCACAGGCGAGCCCUACCACACCUUUGAGCUAUGGCAAUUCUACAUCCUAUAAUACAAACAUGGAAUCUGGAGGAGGAAAUGUAACACAUCGCUCUUGUCUCAGUGGCUGAGGACGGGGGUUUGGGGCUAUGGCUAUUGGCAUUGGGCCAAACCUUUGUGGUGGGGAGAUCUAGGCAUAUUUCAGCUUAUAUUUGGAAGCUUGACUGAGUUUCAACUAUCUAUCUUUUGGCGUAGUCGAUGCCACAUGGUGGUCACGGGAGAUCGCUGGCCUCUUCUCAGUGAGAUCUAUUUAUGCGGCUCCGAUGAGCGACGGGCGAUGACGGCGGCGCGUCUUCGGCUCGCUUUAGUGCUUGCAGUCGUCGCUAUGUGCUCUAUGAAUCUGGAUGUAUUUUUUAUUAUUUUUGGUGUUUGUUGUACUACAAUGUAUGAAGAUGAUAGAUCGGAUGUUUCCCUAAAAAAAGUCUAAGCUCAUGUUUUUUCUAAAUUUGGAGGAUAGGAACCAAUCCUAUGUAGGAAUAGGAAUCCAUACAUAUAUAUUAACCAAAGGGAUCUAAAAGAAAUUCCUAGAAAAAUAUUAUUCUAUAGAAUUUCUAUGAAAUUCCUCCAGUAUGGUGUUGCUUA